AGAUCAAUCUUUGUGUUCAUUCUCGCAAUCGCUCUCUUGCUGUGUCCCCAUCGCUGUAUUGAUCUCUUUUGUUUUUUCAACUACAUGUCACAUUUGUCCGGUAAUCCUGAUUUUGCCUGUGCUGAACUCCAUCUUGUUUCUUUUUGUCCUGGAAAACUCCUCAGUAUUGGCCGAUGUCAACCAUACCAUGAUGCAGCCACCACCAUGCUUAAAAAUAAGGAGGCAGUUACUCAGUGAUGUGUUGGAUUUCUCCCAAACAUAAAGCUUUGCAUUUAUGCCAAAAAGUCUACACCUUUGCUGUGUUUUUUUUGCUAUGUAUUUGUUUUAUUUUCACUGUCA
rnacentral:lncRNA from 1 species